GACGAACGCUGGCGGCGUGCUUAACACAUGCAAGUCGAACGGAGAGGCCUGCUUUCCCUUGUGGAUUGCGGGUACUCGAGUGGCGAACGGGUGAGUAACACGUGAGUGAUCUGCCCCCAACUUGGGUAUAAGCCUGGGAAACUGGGUCUAAUUCCCGAUAGGACUGCAGGGUGGUGCCUGUGGUGGAAAACGAUUUUCUAGUGGUUGGGGAUGAGCUCGCGGCCUAUCAGCUUGUUGGUGGGGUAAUGGCCUACCAAGGCGGCGACGGGUAGCCGGCCUGGGAGGGUGGACGGCCACAUUGGGACUGAGAUACGGCCCAGACUCCUACGGGAGGCAGCAGUGGGGAAUAUUGCACAAUGGGCGGAAGCCUGAGGCAGCGACGCCGCGUGGGGGAUGACGGCCUUCGGGUUGUAAACUCCUUUCGACCGCGAGGAAGCCACCUGGUUGGAAGGGUGGUGACGGUAGUGGUAGAAGAAGCACCGGCUAACUACGUG
rnacentral:rRNA from 1 species